AAAUUGAAGAGUUUGAUCAUGGCUCAGAUUGAACGCUGGCGGCAGGCCUAACACAUGCAAGUCGAGCGGAAACGAGUUAUCUGAACCUUCGGGGAACGAUAACGGCGUCGAGCGGCGGACGGGUGAGUAAUGCCUAGGAAAUUGCCCUGAUGUGGGGGAUAACCAUUGGAAACGAUGGCUAAUACCGCAUGAUGCCUACGGGCCAAAGAGGGGGACCUUCGGGCCUCUCGCGUCAGGAUAUGCCUAGGUGGGAUUAGCUAGUUGGUGAGGUAAGGGCUCACCAAGGCGACGAUCCCUAGCUGGUCUGAGAGGAUGAUCAGCCACACUGGAACUGAGACACGGUCCAGACUCCUACGGGAGGCAGCAGUGGGGAAUAUUGCACAAUGGGCGCAAGCCUGAUGCAGCCAUGCCGCGUGUGUGAAGAAGGCCUUCGGGUUGUAAAGCACUUUCAGUCGUGAGGAAGGCAGUGUAGUUAAUAGCUGCAUUAUUUGACGUUAGCGACAGAAGAAGCACCGGCUAACUCCGUGCCAGCAGCCGCGGUAAUACGGAGGGUGCGAGCGUUAAUCGGAAUUACUGGGCGUAAAGCGCAUGCA
rnacentral:rRNA from 1 species